rnacentral:rRNA from 1 species
GCUGGCGGCAGGCUUAACACAUGCAAGUCGAGCGGGGUGAUGGUGCUUGCACUAUCACCUAGCGGCGGACGGGUGAGUAAUGCUUAGGAAUCUGCCUAUUAGUGGGGGACAACAUUUCGAAAGGAAUGCUAAUACCGCAUACGUCCUACGGGAGAAAGCAGGGGAUCUUCGGACCUUGCGCUAAUAGAUGAGCCUAAGUCGGAUUAGCUAGUUGGUGGGGUAAAGGCCUACCAAGGCGACGAUCUGUAGCGGGUCUGAGAGGAUGAUCCGCCACACUGGGACUGAGACACGGCCCAGACUCCUACGGGAGGCAGCAGUGGGGAAUAUUGGACAAUGGGCGCAAGCCUGAUCCAGCCAUGCCGCGUGUGUGAAGAAGGCCUUAUGGUUGUAAAGCACUUUAAGCGAGGAGGAGGCUACUUUAGAUAAUACCUAGAGAUAGUGGACGUUACUCGCAGAAUAAGCACCGGCUAACUCUGUGCCAGCAGCCCGCGGUAAUACAGAGGGUGCAAGCGUUAAUCGGAUUUACUGGGCGUAAAGCGCGCGUAGGCGGCUAAUUAAGUCAAAUGUGAAAUCCCCGAGCUUAACUUGGGAAUUGCAUUCGAUACUGGUUAGCUAGAGUGUGGGAGAGGAUGGUAGAAUUCCAGGUGUAGCGGUGAAAUGCGUAGAGACUGGAGGAAUACCGAUGGCGAAGGCAGCCACUGGCCUAACACUGACGCUGAGGUGCGAAAGC